rnacentral:rRNA from 1 species
GACCAAGGAGUCUAGCAUGUGCGCGAGUCAUUGGGACAUUGAUAAACCUAAAGGCGCAAUGAAAGUGAAGGUCCGCCUUGCGCGGACCGAGGGAGGAUGGGCCCGUCCACGGGCGGGCCCCGCACUCCCGGGGCGUCUCGUUCUCAUCGCGAGAAGAGGCGCACCCAGAGCGUACACGCUGGGACCCGAAAGAUGGUGAACUAUGCCUGGUCAGGACGAAGUCAGGGGAAACCCUGAUGGAGGUCCGUAGCGAUUCUGACGUGCAAAUCGAUCGUCGGAACUGGGUAUAGGGGCGAAAGACUAAUCGAAC